rnacentral:rRNA from 1 species
GUACCCUUGGGUGCGAAGGUUACCCCAUAAGCAUUCCGCCUGGGGAGUUCGGUCGCAAGGCUGAAAAUUAAAGGAAUUGACGGGGGCCCGCCCCAGCCGUGGAGUAUGUGGUUUAAUUUGAAGGAACGGGAAGAACCUUUCCAAAUUUUGACAUCCCUUUGAAUCCCUUAGAGAUAGGGGCGGCCUUUGGGACCGAGGAGACCGGUGGUGCAAGGUUGUCGUCAACUUGUGUUGUGAGAUGUUGGGUUAAGUCCCGCAACGAGCGCAACCCUUGAUUUUAGUUGCCAGCCAUUUAAGGUGGGCACUCUAAGGUGACUGCCGGUGACAAACCGGAGGAAGGUGGGGAUGACGUCAAAUCAUCAUGCCCCUUAUGACUUGGGCUACACACGUACUACAAUGGCUGGUACAACGGGAAGCGAAGCCGCGAGGUGGAGCCAAUCCUAAAAAGCCAGUCUCAGUUCGGAUUGCAGGCUGCAACUCGCCUGCAUGAAGUCGGAAUUGCUAGUAAUCGCGGAUCAGCAUGCCGCGGUGAAUACGUUCCCGGGUCUUGUACACACCGCCCGUCACACCACGAGAGUUUACAACACCCGAAGUCGGUGGGGUAACCCUUACGGAGCCAGCCGCCGAAAAAGGGGGGUGGAGU